GACGAGCGCUGGCGGCGUGCUUAACACAUGCAAGUCGAGCGGAAAGGCCACUUCGGUGGUACUCGAGCGGCGAACGGGUGAGUAACACGUGAGUAAUCUGCCCUUGGCUUUGGGAUAGCCACCGGAAACGGUGAUUAAUACCGGAUAUGACCACUCUAGGCAUCUAGUGGUGGUGGAAAGUUUUUCGGCCAGGGAUGUGCUCGCGGCCUAUCAGCUUGAUGGUGAGGUAAUGGCUCACCAUGGCUUCGACGGGUAGCCGGCCUGAGAGGGUGACCGGUCACACUGGGACUGAGACACGGCCCAGACUCCUACGGGAGGCGGCAGUGGGGAAUAUUGGACAAUGGGCGGAAGCCUGAUCCAGCAACGCCGCGUGAGGGAUGACGGCCUUCGGGUUGUAAACCUCUUUCGGUAGGGACGAAGCGUGAGUGACGGUACCUACUAAAGAAGCACCGGCCAACUACGUGCCAGCCGCCGCAGUAAAAC
rnacentral:rRNA from 1 species